GGAGGUAGUGACAAUAAAUCACAAUGCGGGACUAUCAGUCUUGCAAUUGGAUUGAGAACAAUGUACAACUCUUAUCGAUAAGCCAUUGGAGGGCAAGUCUGGUGCCAGCAGCCGCGGUAAUUCCAGCUCCAAUAGCGUAUAUUAACGUUGUUGCAGUUAAAAAGCUCGUAGUUGAAGUGUGGGUGGUGCCAUCUGUGAAGCUUCGGCUUCUAGGAUACUCACUACCCCCUUCCAGUAUCCAGUAGUGGGUAUUCAGUUACUUACUACUGUGUGUUGGUCGUUUACUGUGAGAAAAUUAGAGUGUUCAAAGCAGGCGUUUGCUUGAAUAGAUUAGCAUGGAAUAAUAAUUGAAGGCUUUCGUGUUCGAUUUGAUUGGUUUGUUCAUGGAAGCAAGGUUAAAAGGAACAGUUGGGGGUAUUCAUAUUCACUAGUUAGAGGUGAAAUUCUCGGAUUUAUGGAAGAUGAACAAGUGCGAAAGCA
rnacentral:rRNA from 1 species